GAUGAAGAACGUAGCGAAAUGCGAUAAGUAAUGUGAAUUGCAGAAUUCAGUGAAUCAUCGAAUCUUUGAACGCACAUUGCGCCCGCCAGUAUUCUGGCGGGCAUGCCUGUUCGAGCGUCAUUACAACCCUCAGGCCCCCGGGCCUGGCGUUGGGGAUCGGCGGAGCCCCCCGUGGGCACACGCCGUCCCCCAAAUACAGUGGCGGUCCCGCCGCAGCUUCCAUCGCGUAGUAGCUAACACCUCGCGACUGGAGAGCGGCGUGGCCACGCCGUAAAACACCCAACUCUUCUGAAGUUGACCUCGAAUCAGGUAGGAAUACCCGCUGAACUUAAGCAUAUCAAUAAGCGGAGGA
rnacentral:misc_RNA from 1 species